UACGUAGGGAGCAAGCGUUGUCCGGAUUUAUUGGGCGUAAAGAGCUCGUAGGCGGUUCCGUAAGUCAGGUGUGAAAAAUCUGGGCUCAACCCAGUGGAGCACCUGAUACUGCGGUGACUCGAGUCCGGUAGGGGAGUGUGGAAUUCCUGGUGUAGCGGUGAAAUGCGUAGAUAUCGAGAGGAACACCUGCGGCGAAGGCGGGUUGCUGGGCCGACACUGACGCUGAUGCGCGAAAGCCAGGGGAGCGAACGGG
rnacentral:rRNA from 1 species